rnacentral:lncRNA from 1 species
GUUUUCUUUCAUUAUAAAAAGGUUGUAACAUAUUCAUUCAAUUAAUGAAAAGGAAUUCUUCAUUCACAAAUUAUAUUCUAUCAAAUUCUAACAGCAUAUUCAUUCAAUUAAUGAAAAGGAAUUCUUCAUUCACAAAUUAUAUUCUAUCAAAUUCUAACAGGGUAUCAAAGUCGAAGGUUUAAACGAUCCAUACCUUCACCAUGGCAGAUUUAACCACACAUACAGCCGCCCCUGAUGUUUUGAAAUCCCUCACCGAUGCUAACUCCCCAUACUAUUUACAUUUAUCUGACCAACCCAAUCAAUUUCUUGUCAAUGUACCUCUCAAUAGCGAUAACUACCCUGCCUGACGCUGAGCAAUAACCCGUGCACUUACUGCCAAGAACAAAUUGGGUUUCGUUCUUGGCACUAUCAAACGACCAACCAAUGAUACUGCUGCCCCUCUUCUUUGGGACAGAUGUUGUGACAUGAUAAUGUCUUGGUUCCUCUAUUUUUUCGAUUGAUCUCUCAUAGGUAGCUUCCUAUAUUGUGACGCACCAAAUGAUUUAUGGGUUGAAUUAGAAACCUGUUUCCUGCAAAGCAACCGCACCAAAAUAUUCCGACUGAAACGAGACUUUGCGAACCUCCAUCAAGAACAACAAUCAAUCACUACUUACUAUGGACGGUUGACAGAAUUAUGGGAUGUAUUAGUUUCUCUACAACCCAUAGUUUCGUGUACUUGCGGUGCAUCUAAAUCACUUUCUGAGAUCUAGGAAUCUGAUCGAAUCUACCAAUUUCUCACGGGCCUAAAUGAUAGCUUCCAACAACUUCGAUCACAGAUUCUGGCUAUGGACCCACUCCCGUCAAUUGGCCGUUGUUACGCCAUUCUACAUCAAGAAGAGACCCAAUGAUUGGUCCAAUCAACCACCUCUCGAUCGGAGAUUUUAGCUUUGCUCGCUCGCUUACAGUAGCGGGCCACCUCCCAUCCCCAUCACGUUCGACCGAUAGGACAUCCAAUUGUGAAGAAUGUGGUAAAUCGGGUCACACUCGUGACAAAUGCUUCGAGAUUUUGGGAUACCCAGAUUGGUGGCCUUCAAAGAACAAGCCUCCACCACGAAGUUCACCUCGGGUUGCUCGUUCUUCUUUUCCGGCGGUGCACCAAGUCGCCGUCGACCAGACCUCCACCACGAGUGCCACCCAUGGCCUCUCUAUCGAGCAAUAUAACCAAUUGAUGGAACUCUUAAAACCUCCAGCCAUGGCCUUCACAGGUGAGUCCCUCGGCCAUUCCAAUUUUUCCCCAAAUUUUUCCCAUUUUUCUUCUAAUCGAUCCCCUUGGGUAAUAGUUAUUGGUGCAACCCACCAUAUUGCAUCUUCCCCCCUUAAGAAUAUAACAACUGCUAGUUGCCCCCUUUUGUAACUUUACC